AUUAAACGCUGGCGGCAUGCCUUACACAUGCAAGUCGAACGGCAGCACGGGGGCAACCCUGGUGGCGAGUGGCGAACGGGUGAGUAAAGCAUCGGAACGUGCCCUGGAGUGGGGGGAUAACGUAGCGAAAGUUACGCUAAUACCGCAUAUUCUGUGAGCAGGAAAGCAGGGGAUCGCAAGACCUUGCGCUCUGGGAGCGGCCGAUGUCGGAUUAGCUAGUUGGUGGGGUAAAGGCCUACCAAGGCGACGAUCCGUAGCGGGUCUGAGAGGAUGAUCCGCCACACUGGGACUGAGACACGGCCCAGACUCCUACGGGAGGCAGCAGUGGGGAAUUUUGGACAAUGGGCGCAAGCCUGAUCCAGCCAUGCCGCGUGAGUGAAGAAGGCCU
rnacentral:rRNA from 1 species